rnacentral:misc_RNA from 1 species
UGACCACGCUGACUGGAGGA